rnacentral:rRNA from 1 species
AGUGAACGCUGGCGGUAGGCCUAACACAUGCAAGUCGAACGGCAGCACAGUAAUAGCUUGCUCUUCCGGGUGGCGAGUGGCGGACGGGUGAGGAAUACAUCGGAAUCUACUCUUUCGUGGGGGAUAACGUAGGGAAACCUACGCUAAUAUAGCAUAUGAUCUACGGGGGAAAGCAGGGGAUAUUCGCACCUUGCGCGAUUGAAUGAGCUGAUGUUGGACUAGUUAGUUGGCGGGGUGAUGACCCACCAAGGCGGCGAUCCGUAGCUGGACUGAGUGGAUGAUAGGCGACACGGGAACUGGGACGCGGUCCAGACUCCUACGGUAGGCAGCAGUGGGGAAUGGUGGACAAUGGUGGCAAGCCUGAUCCAGCCAUACCGCGUGGGUGGAGAAGGCCUUCGGGUUGUAAAGCCGGUUUGUUGGUAAAGAAAAGCAGCAGGUUAAUACCCCGCUGUUCUGACGGUACCCAAAAAAUAAGCACCGGCUAACUUCGUG